rnacentral:lncRNA from 1 species
CAAAUCCAAAUGCCCAUACGUCACCCACUGUAGUAAUUAAAACUCAAAUCCUAUAUAAUCAACAUGGACGAUAAAUGUCUAUGUGUUCACGUAUGAAGCUUAUUAUUAUUUAUCAUAAUUUUUUCGCUACAAUAUAAAAUAUAAUAAACAAAAAUUGUACACGGUAUAUCACGGGAUAAUUUCAAUUUUAUGUACAGGGUAGCGUGUAAAUUGAGAUACUUGAAUAUCUUGAAAGUAUUUCAGAAAGAGAUGUUUCAGAAAAUUGUCUGAAGGAAAACGAAUUAUAAUGAUAAGAUCAAUUUUCGGAAAAAAAAAUUUUUUUCUUCAAGAAAAUCACAUAAAGAUUAUUCUUACGUACGGUUUAUAAAUUAUAAUAAUUUAUAAAAGUAAAAUAUUACAGCUGUCUCUCUUCAUGAGAGAUGUGCUUAAAAUAUUGCUUACUGUAAUUUUAGAUUUAAUACAAUAAUAUUAUCAAUAUUUUCUAUACUUUGUAUUGUUUGUAAGAAAAAAAGAUACGAGUCAGUGAACUCCAAUAAAAAAAUUGACGGCAUUAACGGAUCGUGUCGACGAUGUUUCUUGGAAUAUAAUUCACUCAACGGGACGCACAUGUUAAUUCAGACUGCUGUUUUCAAAACAUUUCAAUCAGACGGAUGCAUCGCAGUAGUUUUGUAUAGACGUAUCCAGUAACUUUUUAAUUCGUCGGUGUAGGCGAGUGUUUGUGAUUUCGACAAACUUAUCGGCGGGCUUAUCGGCGAGAAACACGGUGCGCUUUGUUGCGAGCUUUCCAAGGCGCAGUUAGAGUGAUUAGUGAAUUUCCACGCGCGAGGGUUCAACAAACGGUGCAGCACGCUUGCACGCGUAUUUCUUCCUGGCAUUUGUGACUUGGCAUAAAAUGAAAGGCACACCUAAAGAUUACUCUUUAGCGCUAACGGAAUGCUGCCACUCGAUCACAUUUUUGCCGAAGAGAUGUCUAUUUUGAAUUUCUGACGCGCAACUAUAAAAUCCCGUCAGCGAGCUUUUCGUUAUCGUCUUGGUUCGUCGAUAUAUCGAAGAGUCAACAGAGAGAAAAUAUAUCAGCAGUCGGAAGAUUUCCACUUGCUCCUAUCUUUGCGACGAACAUGAUGAGGGUUCUUCUCCUUGGCAUUAGACCCUGGCCGGCCAAGUUCUUUCCGAGUUAUUGCCAUUUCGAUUUUUAUAAUUUUCUAAGAGAUUAGAUAAGGUCAUGGCUCGAAAGUGCGGCGGAGAAAAAAAAUGAUCGUGACGAUUCUUGUAUCAUUUCCGUCCGAAAUUCUUACGAGUCGGCUAUCAACUCGGUUUGUAUUCAGUAAAAAUGGGGAACUGAUAAAUUAAAAAAAAAAAUUACAAAAAAUGUCCGCGAAAAUAUAUGCCAGAUUAAUUCAUCGCGCGGAAUUAAUGAAACUAUAUGAAAUGCUAUAUAAAACAACUUCUAAAUACGUUUCUUCCUGUUAUAUUUACAACAAUAAUUUUAGUCUGAAGAAAAUAUUAUAAUACUUACAACUAAAGCAAAGACUGAAGAUUUACUUGUAUAUAUUUUAGCGACUGUGAUGUAAUAGAAACACAUAAUGUGAUGCAAUAAAAAAUAUUUCACGGAAAUAGAAAUGUAGCACGAGUGAAAGCGAUUAAUUAACUUCUCCAUAGAUUAUCGAUAAAUUAUUCCAUAGCUAAAUGCUUACUUUGAUACGCUUGUGUCAGCGAUAAGUGUACAAUUAACAUUGUAACGUAUUGAAACUUCUUUGCUCAUUUUGUUAUUAAUUAUUUUUAUUUCCUCGGUUAGUAUCAUAGAUGACAAAGUUGCAAUAUUGCAUUAUAUCGAUGUAUUGAUUUUAAGAGUGAGUUCAAGGCGGGGGCAGAUUUAUAGUGAAAUGUUAACAAUGUUGAUGUGAUAAUUCUAGGAACUCUUUGAGCAGAGAAAAAAGGGAUUAAAAAAGGGAAAGAUUAAAAUUAAUGCUUAAUCUAGCAACAAUAUAAAACGUACACGUCGUUCACAUAAAUAAAUAUCUUUAUCAUUUAUUUAUUGCUGAUAUUUAUUCAGUCAUAUAUUUGUUUAAAUAUUUAAUAUUAUAAUGAAGAUUUUUUUGUGUUUCUUUUCGAUGCUCUAAUAAUUUCAUUUGCUCAAAUUUUAUUUGCCAGAAAAUACGCGAGUCACAGUCUUUAUUUGCAAAUUCCACAUUCUCGCAACAUUAAAACUACAUACGUAGCGCUACAGAAUCUCAUUAUCAGAUAAUGAGUUAUUUGCUCAUUACGCCGCGCGUCGUUCGGUUGAGAUCAACCAUCGUGUAGUAGAGCUCCGAUUAUUAUCGUAUGUCGAGACACUUUAAUGCUCGACUCUCUCAACGCUCUCAAUGGUGCGGCAAAACAGAUAUCGCGUUUGUAGAAAUACAACCUUGGCCAAAAGUAUUAGACACCUUGCAUUUUCGUAAAUAUUUUUAACCGUAGAAACUUGAACAGAAAUCGAAAUGUGAAUUAUCUUUUGUUUGAAGAACCCUUUGAGAAAAUAAGUAAUACAAAUAAAAGAAUUCUGAAUAGAUGAAACAAUAUAAGUGCCUAAUAUUUUUAAUCAAGGCUGCAUUUGUAAAAAAAAAAAUACCAAUAAUAAAUUAUAAACUGCUACGCGCGGAAUGAACAAAAGAAGGCUCGCGAUAAUGCGCCACGAAUACCCUCGAUACCGUUUUUAUUUUAAGCACUUGUGGCUUAACAAUUAUCUGAAUUAUAAGAAGAGAGCAAAGAUCGUGCUGAAAUUCGUCUGUCUUUAAUCCCUCGUUAAACAGCGCGUCCCAAAGACGCAAUUUUUUUAUAAAUAAAUCGAUUUUACAACAAAUUUUCAACUUUAAUGAUUAAAUUUCUGAAUUUAUAAACUAAAAUUCUCCGGAAAAAUUAAUAUUUCGAUAGUUAUUAACAAAACAAGGAUUCUCCAAAAGCUUAACAGUCCCAGAAUAAUCUCUUGAAUCUCCGUAGAUUAGUGUAUCAAGAUUAAAAAAAAAAAAGGUUCCUCGUUAUGGAACGACACAUAUUUGGCUGGAUUAGAUCGCGCAAGGGCCGCCGCCGGUGUGCGGCUCCUCGGCUAGAAAAAUUGAACGUUAAAUAAUCCCUCCGUGUAUUAUCAUCGAUCACUGUAUAAAUAUGUACGGCGGGUGUGUGUCGUUGUUGGCUAGGAAACGGAAAUAGACCGGCCACCGAUUGGCUAGGUGGGCGAGCCUCCGUCCGUCUCUCCCGUGAGUCUUUUGACUCGCACGCGGAUUCUCGAUCUCGCGCGCACGCCUCUCUUUCUCUCUCUCGUUUGCUUGCUCUCGUGCGGAAGUAUUACGUUGCUGACGCGUACACACGACGACGACGACGACGACGACGACGACGACGACGACGACGGCGGUACGCAUUAUACGAGCGUGUGCUGCACACGAUGACGCAGUGGCCUUGGUCGAUAAAAGACACACGCGCGGAGGAGAGAGAGAAAAAGAGGAGGCUCUUACGGUGUGUUAAUUUCCAGCGCGUUUUCGCGAUUUCGCGAUUCGCCGUUCGAGACAAAUGACGGGGACGAUAGGGCGAUCGAGAUUGGCGUGAUCCCCGAUGGCUGAAACGUUUGCCGAGAGUUUGCUUAAAAGACCGAAGAGCAAGGUGUCAUUUCGCGCUCGGCAACCUGAUUACCCCUGAGAAAAGCUCGCGGACGGUUUCUGACCCAGAGACCGUCGAUACAUUGAUUUUCGAGCGAUCGUCAUCAUUUUUCAAGCGCGCCAAGAUAACCGCGGUAGGAAUAUACCAGCGGACGGCAGCAGAUUCGCUGACGUAAGGCGUAAAACGAUAACACGCGAAGAAAGCAAACUUUCUCAUUACUGCCACUCGUAAAAUCUACGUUAUUAGGUGAGGAAUCCUACGGAUUGUUUGCGGAGUCGUUUGUAGCCCGCCGUUAUGCAACGGCGCUAAUACACCAAUGCACAACGAUCGGUACUUUUAUUUUUAAAACUUCCCCAAAUUGCUGCACUUUAGCGUCGAAUUACAUAUACUUCCGCGUUUUUUUUUUUUUUAAUUUGAGUAUAUUAUACGAAAUAUUAUACGUACUUGAGUUUUCUGUUAUUUAAAAUUUUGUUUCGGUUAUACAUUUUGAAUUAUACAAAGUUUAGCAAUAACAUGGAAUUUUGUUAAUGUAGCCCCAUAAAUGUGUUGACGUUUCAACAGGUUUAAUAUUAUUUAUCAAAAUUUUCUUAUCGAAACAGUCAAUAAGUCGAUUGUAGUUCCAUUCCUAAUCUAUUGUUUACAUCUAUUAUGUUUUCAAUACUGCAAUUUAUAUACUGAAGAGAAAAAGUGUACAUAUAUUUGCAUAAUUUACAUAUUUUACAUAAUAUAUAAUUUUAUAACAUUGUUUUUUUCACAAAACCAAUUUUUUAAAAAUUGUUUCAAUAGAGAAGCUACAUUACCAUUUUUGUUUCUUUUCGAUUCACUGUACAGUGUUGCCACACUUUUAUGAAUAACAUCUUAAUUAAUUGGAUAUUUUAUAAUUUUUUAUUCAGCCUAAAAUCGACUGAACAAUAUUGGCGAGUGGUUAAGUCUCGAUUUAAAACAUUGAUUGUAUUAAUAAUGUUGUUGUAUAAAAUGUAUGGGAGGAGGAUCAUAAUGUCACCUUCUUUCCUAGUAAUAACUAAGCUCAUUUUUCCUUUUACGAUUAAUAUUUUAUCAGAAUGAGAAUCAAUUUCUCAAGUCCUCGAUCAGACACACCAGAUUAUUCGAUAAAAAAA